CGAGGCCGGCUUUACAGAGGCCGGUGCGAUCUCUCCGCGUCGUGGAAGGAUCACGGUCUGCUCGCAGCCU
rnacentral:SRP_RNA from 1 species